rnacentral:rRNA from 1 species
AUUGAACGCUGGCGGCAUGCUUUACACAUGCAAGUCGAACGGCAGCGGGGAGGAGCUUGCUUCUCUGCCGGCGAGUGGCGCACGGGUGAGUAAUACAUCGGAACGUGUCGAGAAGAGGGGGAUAACCACCCGAAAGGGUGGCUAAUACCGCAUAAAUUCUGAGGAAGAAAGCUGGGGACCUAGGAAUAGGCCUAGCGCUUUUUGAGCGGCCGAUGUCGGAUUAGCUAGUUGGUGAGGUAAAGGCUCACCAAGGCGAAGAUCUGUAGCGGGUCUGAGAGGAUGGUCCGCCACACUGGGACUUAGACACGGCCCAGACUCCUACGGGAGGCAGCAGUGGGGAAUUUUGGACAAAGGGGGCAACCCUGAUCCAGCCAUGCCGCGUGUAUGAAGAAGGCCUUAGGGUUGUAAAGUACUUUUGUUAGGGAAGAAAAGGCAGCUGUGAAUAAUGGCGGAUACUGACGGUACCUAAAGAAUAAGCACCGGCUAACUACGUG